rnacentral:rRNA from 1 species
UACAGAGGGUGCAAGCGUUAAUCGGAAUUACUGGGCGUAAAGCGUGCGUAGACGGUUAUGUAAGUCGGAUGUGAAAGCCCAGGGCUCAACCUUGGAAUUGCAUUCGAGACUGCAUAGCUAGGAUGCGGAAGAGGGAAGCGGAAUUUCCGGUGUAGCGGUGAAAUGCGUAGAUAUCGGAAGGAACACCAGUGGCGAAAGCGGCUUCCUGGUCCAGCAUCGACGUUCAGGCACGAAAGCGUGGGGAGCAAACAGG